rnacentral:lncRNA from 1 species
AGUCUGAUGAGCCUAAGUUUAUGCUCUGUUUUUGUGUUUGUUCUAGGUCUAGAUAGAGUCUUUUUUCUUGUUUUGUUAGUGUCGCGUCGCCUAGGAGGGCGUAGUUCCAAGGCAAGCCCGCUCUUUGGGCAAGAUGUAAUUUUGGAGCAUGAUGCUGCUGCAUUCCACGAAAGUGGCACAGUUUUGAUGCAAGGGGAUUUGGGAGAGCAUAAUCAGCUAGGAUCAAAAGUCCUAAAAACAGCAAGUUGGGCAAACCCGUCCUUUGCCCAUAAGUACCGCGUGGGAUCCAGCAGGCAUAGAGGAGAAGGAGGAAGAAGGAAGGUCAGAGGAGCGCAGCA